UACGUAGGGUGCAAGCGUUGUCCGGAAUUAUUGGGCGUAAAGAGCUCGUAGGCGGCUUGUCACGUCGACUGUGAAAACCCGGGGCUCAACUCCGGGCCUGCAGUCGAUACGGGCUGGCUUGAGUGCGGUAGGGGAGACUGGAAUUCCUGGUGUAGCGGUGAAAUGCGCAGAUAUCAGGAGGAACACCGAUUGCGAAGGCAGCUCGCUGGGACGUUACUGACGCUGAGACGCGAAAGCGUGGGGAGCGAACAGG
rnacentral:rRNA from 1 species